rnacentral:rRNA from 1 species
AGAAACUAACAAGGAUUCCCCUAGUAACGGCGAGUGAAGCGGGAAGAGCUCAAAUUUGAAAUCUGGUGGCCUCAGGUCAUCCGAGUUGUAAUCUAUAGAAGUGUUUUCCGUGCUGGCUCAUGUACAAGUCCCUUGGAACAGGGCGUCAUAGAGGGUGAGAAUCCCGUCCUUGACAUGAACUACCAGUGCUCUGUGAUACAUUUUCAACGAGUCGAGUUGUUUGGGAAUGCAGCUCAAAAUGGGUGGUAAAUUCCAUCUAAAGCUAAAUAUUGGCGAGAGACCGAUAGCGAACAAGUACCGUGAGGGAAAGAUGAAAAGCACUUUGGAAAGAGAGUUAAACAGUAUGUGAAAUUGUUAAAAGGGAAACGAUUGAAGUCAGUCGUGCUCUUUGGAUUCAGCCGGUUCUGCCGGUGUACUUCCUUUGAGUGGGGUCAACAUCAGUUUUGAUCGCUGGAUAAAGGCUGGAGGAACGUAGCACCCCCGGGUGAACUUAUAGCCUCCUGUCACAUACAGUGGUUGGGACUGAGGAACGCAGCACGCCUUUAUGGC